rnacentral:lncRNA from 1 species
CCAGAGAGCUCGUAGGGGAGGACAGUCAAGGGACUCAAGCGUCUCUCUUGACUCCCCUUCUCUCGCUGUGCAGUGGCGGUGCCGAGGGGCCGACGCUCAGGGCUAAUCUCUAUCAGUCACCCUCGAGGCCCCGGGUAAUAUUGGGUGGAUCACAAGAACUAAUCUUUCAUGAUUUGGAAACUGGAAGGAAAGAAGCACUUUUGUAGCUGACUCACCUCAAUGGCAUGACCAGUGUCUGAGCCUACAACUGCGCUACCUUCUCUGGAUUUUUCUUCACCUUUUCCUCAUUCACGAGCCAGGACGUGAACCCAGAGCCUGCCCGGAUGCAAAAGUUGCUGUAACACUGAAUCCCUCCCACCCUAUGCCAGUGCUGGGUGGCUGUCCCAUGUGAUGGGAAGUGGUGGUGGGGCCAGGCCAGCCCAGGAGCCAUCAUGGGCCAGAGUGGGGCAGUGGGACCGAACAAGCUAUAACACAAAUGAGCUGAAACAUGUUCCUGGCUGGCCCGCCAAGCUGCCAGCAGUGACAUGUACCCAUCUGCCGGACCACAAGACAAGAGCUGUGACCCUUCUGGGGACCCAGACCUCGGGACUCCCUGAGUCAGAGCUGUGACAUGCUGUAACACCCCCUUGGGGCUAUGUGGUUGCUCGUGCCUCUGAGUUUUCAGGCACCACUGCAUUCCCCCUGUCCAGAUGCUGAUGCCUGGUCCAGCUACAGCCCCUCACAGAACUCAUGCCUGUGCUGGUGCCUGGAGCUGCCCGCUCCACUGUAGCAGCUGGCACGCCUGGCUGUGCAUCAUGGCUGGACCCUACACUUGCUCACUCACACACCCCUUGCCACUCUGUGCCUGGCUUGUCUGCAGUGGGCGUGGGAUCUGGGCCUGUAGUGCAAGCUAAGUACAGCCUGCCAGGCUGAGUGGGUGGAGCCAGCCCAGCAGUCACAAGCGAAACUCAGGCAGAGGCACCACUGGCCACAGAGGUUACCGAACGAAUCAUGUGUCACUACUGUUAGCGGUGCCUAAUUUAUACAGGUCUGCAGCAACUUCAGUUCUUGCCUUCUAAGAAGAGAGAAUUCAACUGAGGUGGGUCAUAAGGCAGAGUGAGAGACUGAGGCAAGUUUUAAGCAGGAAUGAAAGUUUAUUAAAAAGUUUUAAGUAGGAAUGAGAGGAAGUAAAGUACACUUGGAAGAGGGCCAAGCAGGUGAUGUGAGAGAGUCAAGUGCCCAGUUUGACCUCUGACUUACAGUUUUGUAUGUUCUAGCAUCUUCUGUCCCUUCUCACCUGAUUCUUCCUUUGGAGUGGGCUGUCGGCAUGCACAGUGGCCUGCUAGCACAUGGGAGGGACCACAGGCACAGUGUGUUUACUGGAGUUGUAUGCAUACUCAGGUGAGGCAUUCUUCCCUUACCAGUUGAGUGUUCCUAGAGGGAGGUCAUAUACCAGUUAAACUCUGCCAUUUUGGCUCUUAACGCACGUGCUUGAGACCACUCACCCAAUUCCUGAGAUCUUAUGGGAAAGCUGCUGAUGACCAGUUGCAGUUUUUUCCAUCUAUUGGGAGACUGCCUUUCUCUGGUGCCGGCUGCGACCCAUUAGUAUUUUGGAGAGACGGUUAACAACCACCUGACUAUCACCUGAUGGUUGCCUAAUGUUCGUAGGGGGGCGUCUCUCCUACCCUGCUCAUGUCUGCCUGACUACCUAAUGUAACACUACUUUAAAUUAUUAUUCUGGUUGAUUUCUUAGCCCCAAAGAUGAAUCAUCCCUCCUCCUUUCUUAUUUCCCAAAACAUUACUAACACAGGGUUAUUUUGUGUAGUACUUUUUAAAAAAUUAGAGAUAACCUAAGAGGCCACCGCACUGCACAAAAUGGGGAUCAUCUUAAAGUUCAGUGUUAGGCAGCAUUGCCCCUGGCUAUUUCCAUCACAAGGAAACAGCCUUCUUUCUCUUGAGCCCCCUCCUGCUGGCUUGUUGCUGGCCCCUCCUCUUCUUCUUGUUUAUUGUACAACAAAACCACCCAGGCAAAGCUUAAGAUUUGCUGGUACUUUAACUUGCAGAGAAAUUUGACUGCCUCCCUCAACCUCCUGCCCAUAUCAGAAUAGAGGCCUUUGUAUGCUAGAGUUUCCAAUACCAAAUAAUGGCAACAAUAAUAAAUAGUGACAACAUUUUAUAUUAUAUUUUACUUUAAGUUAUAGCAAAGCAAAUUUUGAGUAGGGCUCUCUUCCCACCAACAAGAUUCUUGGGAUCUUAUCGUUUGUGGGGAGAAAUCUGGAAACUGUAUUAUAAUAGACACCCUUUUAUCUGAUAUUAUUGAAUUAUUAGUAGGGUAACUAUUAACAAUUAAUUGAACAGUCAGUUAAUGCAGAGAUUCAUAAAAUGAUAUCUUAUGUUUUAUAUUUUAUUAAAAUGUGUAACCUGUU